rnacentral:rRNA from 1 species
GUGGGGAAUAUUGCACAAUGGGGGAAACCCUGAUGCAGCGACGCCGCGUGAGCGAAGAAGUAUUUCGGUAUGUAAAGCUCUAUCAGCAGGGAAGAAGAAAUGACGGUACCUGACUAAGAAGCACCGGCUAAAUACGUGCCAGCAGCCGCGGUAAUACGUAUGGUGCAAGCGUUAUCCGGAUUUACUGGGUGUAAAGGGAGCGCAGGCGGUACGGCAAGUCUGAUGUAAAAGCCCGUGGCUCAACCCCGGUACUGCAUUGGAAACUGUCUGACUAGAGUGUCGGGGGGGUAAGUGGAAUUCCUAGUGUAGCGGUGAAAUGCGUAGAUAUUAGGAGGAACACCAGUGGCGAAGGCGGCUUACUGGACGAUUACUGACGCUGAGGCUCGAAAGCGUGGGGAGCAAACAGGAUUAGAAACCCCGGUAGUCC